AUUGAACGCUGGCGGUAUGCUUUACACAUGCAAGUCGAACGGCAGCGCGGGCUUCGGCCUGGCGGCGAGUGGCGAACGGGUGAGUAAUGCAUCGGAACGUGCCCAGUAGUGGGGGAUAGCCCGGCGAAAGCCGGAUUAAUACCGCAUACGCCCUGAGGGUGAAAGCGGGGGACCGAAAGGCCUCGCGCUCUUGGAGCGGCCGAUGUCGGAUUAGCUAGUUGGUGGGGUAAAGGCUUACCAAGGCGACGAUCCGUAGCUGGUCUGAGAGGACGACCAGCCACACUGGGACUGAGACACGGCCCAGACUCCUACGGGAGGCAGCAGUGGGGAAUUUUGGACAAUGGGGGCAACCCUGAUCCAGCCAUGCCGCGUGCGGGAAGAAGGCCUUCGGGUUGUAAACCGCUUUUGUUCGGGAAGAAAUCCUCUGGGCUAAUACCCCGGGGGGAUGACGGUACCGGAAGAAUAAGCACCGGCUAACUACGUG
rnacentral:rRNA from 1 species